AAUGACGCUGCAGCAGGCCUAACACAUGCAAGUCGAACGGAAACAUGUCUAGCUUGCUAGAUGAUGUCGAGUGGCGGACGGGUGAGUAAUACUUAGGAACAUGCCUUUGGGUGGGGGAUAACUAUUGGAAACGAUAGCUAAUACCGCAUAACGUCUACGGACCAAAGGGGGCUUCGGCUCCCGCCCAGAGAGUGGCCUAAGCGAGAUUAGCUUGUUGGUGAGGUAAAGGCUCACCAAGGCGACGAUCUCUAGCUGUUCUGAGAGGAAGAUCAGCCACACUGGAACUGAGACACGGUCCAGACUCCUACGGGAGGCAGCAGUGGGGAAUAUUGCACAAUGGGCGCAAGCCUGAUGCAGCCAUGCCGCGUGUGUGAAGAAGGCCUUCGGGUUGUAAAGCACUUUCAGUUGUGAGGAAAGGUUAACGGUUAAUACCCGUUAGCUGUGACGUUAGCAACAGAAGAAGGACCGGCUAACUCCGUGCCAGCAGCCGCGGUAAUACGG
rnacentral:rRNA from 1 species